UACGUAGGGGGCGAGCGUUGUCCGGAGUUACUGGGCGUAAAGCGCACGCAGGCGGUCUGCUAAGUUUGGAGUGACAGUUGGUGGCUUAACUGCCAAAGUGCUUCGAAAACUGACAGACUUGAGGGCUUCAGAGGGACACGGAAUUCCGGGUGGAGUGGUGAAAUGCGUAGAGAUCCGGAGGGACACCAAAGGCGAAGGCAGUGUCCUGGGGAGUACCUGACGCUCAGGUGCGAAAGCCAGGGGAGCGAACGGG
rnacentral:rRNA from 1 species